GUCAUCCUUUUAUAAGCUACCUUAGAUCCAUUAGCCCAACAGAUCCAUUCUGUUGUAAACGCUUAAAGCCCAAUUUAGGACCAAUAGAGUUUCGGUAUAGACACGUUAAUUCCACAACCUCUACCUUGUUUUCAUCAAAACUUAUCAUUUCAGACAACCCUCCAAAAGCUUAGUGAAUCUCUGACGAACUCCUUUUGUCUUCUACUCUUUUACGACUUAUCUUGACGUCUCUCUUUCAUCACAUAUGAUGAAACUGAGCUACACAACACAGCUACACCUUCAAGAUAUCACAUUUUAUAUUCUUGUUUCAAUUCCCUUUCUUCCCAAGUCUGAACCGCCAAACUGACAACCCCUUCUUCCGACUUCCCUAACCCUUUAGGAUGACAAAGUUGGCCGCAUAUCGGCUCAAGCUUCGGCUUACACCUCUGGUAAGAGAAUCAUCGAGACAUCUCAUCAGCCGCAUGUUGCAUGCAGGGCCGGCUCAUAAACAUUUUAGGCCCCUGGGCAAAAACAAAUUAUAUAGCCUUUUGGCAAUUUUUUUUUGAAAAUCAAGUAAAAACUAAAAUUUAAUGUAAUUAUUUAAGCUAUUAUAUUAUUUUGUAAGGAAAUUUUCAAGAUAAUUUAAUUUUUAAAAUAGAUAUAACUAAAUUUAGUUAAAAAUAUUUAUAUUUACUUUUUUGUUUAUUAAAAAUGCAAACAAAUUGUAAAAAAAAAAUUGGACCCCUGGGCCCCGGGGCGGUCGCACUCCCCGCCCUACCAUCUAAGCAGCCCCUGGUUGCAUGGAACCUGCGAACUUUGACAAACACCAAAUCCUUCUCCAGUGUCUUCCCAAGUACGGUCUUUGUUAGGAUAUCAGCUAGGUUUAGCGUAGUAUGAAUCUUUACCAUUAUCCUGCUUCCAUCGGCAAUUACAUUUCAAAUAAAAUUGAACCUAUGUGUUUAGUUCUUUUGUAAAAGCAUCUAUUCUUUACCAAAAAUAUAGCUGAUUGUGAUUCACAAUUAACUUUAACUGCCCAUGUAUCAUGACUUAGAUCUUCACACAUACCCUUAAUCCAUAAGAACUAGUCUUCGUACUGAGACUAUAACUCUUAAGGAAGAAAAUCGAUUCUAAUGAAAUCAUGGCUGGAAUUGAUAUCUUAUUUAAAUAGAAAGAUUUCAAAUAUCUGGAAUUUAUUUUUAUAUAUUAUAUGGAUGAUCCGAACCGCAAGGAAUACCUAUUUAGUAGCUUCAGUUAAGGUCAUCUACUCUGACUAGCUCUAUAGUAAAGAGAGAAAUUAUUGGUUCGAGCUCCGAUCUCCAGCUAGUAGUAUUACCUCAUACGUGAAAAUAUAGCCAGUAAUUAAUCUCAUUUUGUGGAGAUCAGUUGUAUAAUCUACAUCACAGAAUCCUUCCACCUCAUGACUUUGCUUCUUUCAAACAGUUCAAGGAAAAAUCUUCCUCAAAUGUACAUUAAAAUCCAUUUCACUUUCUCUUAGUGUUCUCUAUCUGAAUUUCCCAUAAACCUGCUCACAAUCACAGAAUCCCUCCAACUGCACAUGCAUACAUAAUUUCUCUCAUUAACUCUGGUUCCUCUUUGCUUCUUCUUAACUCAUACUUUUCAGGUUGAAUUGAUACCCUAAUUGGAGUAGAAAUUGGUUUGCAAUACGCAAUGUUCAAAGUUGAGAGCACAUGUUCUAAUUAUUUUCUUUGAGAAAACUUCAGUGAACCUUCUUCAGAAUUUCUUGUACUAUAUACACACCUAAGAUCCUUGUUGCAGCUCACAAAUAUUUCAUUUCAUACUUGUGAGAAUCAUUUGGCAACCAAUCUCGUCUUGAACCUUUGUUGGUCAACUCAUGAGAUGUCUAGUUUCUUUCUAUAAACCCACUUGCAUCCAAUUACCAUUUUCUUUCUUGUCUCUUCACAAUAUCUCAAGUAGCAUUUCUGUCAAGCGAAUUAA